AUUGCUGCGGUUAAAAAGCUCGUAGUUGGAAUCCAGCUUGACGACAUGGUCCAUUUAUUGGAUGUGAACUAUGAUCGUAGGCUAAUCUAUGUUGGUUUUCCUUGCGUUACCUUGAUCGGUCGCGUAAGGUGGCUAGCGAGUUUACCUUGAAAAAAUUAGAGUGCUUAAUGCGGGCUUAAAAGCCUGAAUAUUCGUGCAUGGAAUAAUAGAAUAGGAUCUCGGUUCUAUUUUGUGGGCUUAAAAGCCUGAAUUCGUGCAUGGAAUAAUAGAAUAGGAUCUCGGUUCUAUUUUGUUGGUUUUCUGAUCUGAGAUAAUGGUUAAGAGGGACAGACGGGGGCAUUCGUACCGCUGCGUGAGAGGUGAAAUUCUUGGAAAGUGUGUGUGGUUGACGAAAUCCUUAUGGGGCUAUUGCGAAAUCACCAUGAAAAUGAAAGCCUAUAUAGUCGCGAUUCG
rnacentral:ncRNA from 1 species